UACGGGGGGAGCAAGCGUUGUUCGGAUUUACUGGGCGUAAAGGGCGCGUAGGCGGUCAGCACAAGUCAGUUGUGAAAUCUCCGGGCUUAACUCGGAAAGGUCAACUGAUACUGUGCGACUAGAGUGCAGAAGGGGCAACUGGAAUUCUCGGUGUAGCGGUGAAAUGCUUAGAUAUCGAGAGGAACACCUGCGGCGAAGGCGGGUUGCUGGGCUGACACUGACGCUGAGGCGCGAAAGCUAGGGGAGCGAACGGG
rnacentral:rRNA from 1 species